rnacentral:tmRNA from 1 species
GGGGCUGUAUUGGAAUUGACAUCAUGAUUAAUAUAUAAGUAAGCAUAUCGUGUAUAUGUAAUGUAAUCACGUAUGAAAAUUUCAUUACAAAUAUAUAAACGGCAAAAAAAAUUACGCUCUUGCUGCUUGAUACUAUUUAAAAUAAGAGUAAAGCAAAAUAUUUUUUUAUUUUCUCUUUCUUACAGAAAAUAAAAAUUUACUUUAAGUAAGAAUAGGAAAGAUUGAGGUUCUAAAUCUUUCUAAGAAGUUAGAAGAACUAGAUUCUAAGUAAUAGAUUCUUAUCUCUAAACUUAGAAUUCAUUUUAAUUUGAUAAGAUAAAUAUGUAGAAAACUUAUAAUAUUACUUGUUUGGACACGGGUUCGAAUCCCGUCAGCUCCACAA